rnacentral:rRNA from 1 species
CACGUAGGAGGCGAGCGUUGUCCGGAAUUACUGGGCGUAAAGAGCGCGCAGGCGGCCCGGCAAGUCGGGUGUGAAAUCCCGGGGCUCAACCCCGGGACUGCAUUCGAUACUGUCGGGCUAGAGGUAGGUAGGGGAGAUCGGAAUUCCUGGUGUAGCGGUGAAAUGCGCAGAUAUCAGGAGGAACACCGGUGGCGAAGGCGGAUCUCUGGGCCUUACCUGACGCUCAGGCGCGAAAGCUAGGGGAGCGAACAGG